CAUUGGGUCUAUCUGUGUGACGAUAAGACCAUUCAAUCAAUGUUAUUAUUUACAUCUGUGUUUCACAGUAUGUACAUUUACUCUGCUUUCUGUCCAGACUUUCAUAAUGAAGACACCAUUGGUUAACAAAGUACAAAACUUUAUUUUAUACUGUCAACAAACAUAAAAGUGCAGAUAAAAGUGUGCAGCUUUUGCAUGGAAAAGUGCAAACUUUAUGAACUUCAUUAUGAACAUGUCAUAGCGAACUCAGUCAUUAAUUCAAGUAUUCCUGCUUGCCUAUGUGAAAGGCUUUGCAUGGAAAAGUGCAACGUUUAUGAGCAUCAUUAUGAACGUGUCAUAGCAAACUCAAACAAUAAUGUAAUGAUAAAAAUGCACAAUCUAUUUCCUUGUAAUAGGAAAUAAAAACUUGCUCCACUGGCAAAUUAUUCUACUUAUUUUUUAGUGAAAGUUCGCUUGAAACAAGUGGUGAUUGUCUAAAAACAAGUUACUUUUUACAGGAUGAGUCUUAUUUUAAGUGUAAUAAGACUUAUUUUGACUAGAAAUUAGACAUUUUGACUAGAAAUAACACAAAUGCUCUUGGAAAAAUUUUACGUUUUUGCACUGAAGGUAGACCUGAUGUCCUUAAAGAAGUACGUCAUGUUUACAGACGUUGUAGCUUGCUAAUAUUACUCAAAUAUAUCAAAUAAGCAUGCCACGUGAAGCUACAGACAUUAUUGUGCAUAAAUAAACUAGUUUCAAUCAUAAAAUUUGAUUAGGAUUUUACCUUGUCCAUGUUUCUGUCGGGAGCUGCCGUAGAAGACAUUCGCUGUCAUCCCCGCCAUGUUGUUUUUUUCAAAUGAGUGUAAUUUCAUUAUGAGACCACUAGGUGGUGCAGGCAGGGCCCCCAGAUGAGGGCAAUUGGUCAAAAUUCUUACAAAUUAAGUAUCAUGGUGCAGAACAGCAAAAAUGUAAUGUCCUCAUAUGAGGAUGCAGGGUCUCAGGACGUUAAGAGAGGAAUG